UCCAGUUCAACUAUUGUUUCUGAGUCUCUGUCCGACCGAGAUGACGUGAUGAGAUGAUGUUAAUUCUUCAACUGGUUUGAGCAGACAUCUGUCCCUCCCCCAGCCCAGCCAUUACUGCAGCUACCCCCCUCGUUGACACCUCUAGUAUGCUACCCCCACUAAGCUCAAAAGCAUACAGCUUUUGCAGACCCAACUCAGCAGAGGCCUAGGUAAAUCACUGCCAAAGGAGUAGAUCACCACCGCUGACAAA